rnacentral:rRNA from 1 species
GACGAACGCUGGUGGCGUGCUUAACACAUGCAAGUCGAACGGGAUUUAGUAAACAGAAGCCUCGGUGGAAGAUUACUAAUGAGAGUGGCGAACGGGUGAGUAACGCGUGAGCAACCUGCCUAUGACAGUGGGAUAGCCUCGGGAAACCGGGAUUAAUACCGCAUAAAAUCGUAGAAACACAUGUUUUAACGGUCAAAGAUUUAUCGGUCAUAGAUGGGCUCGCGUCUGAUUAGCUAGUUGGUGAGAUAACAGCCCACCAAGGCGACGAUCAGUAGCCGGUCUGAGAGGAUGAACGGCCACAUUGGAACUGAGACACGGCCCAAACUCCUACGGGAGGCAGCAGUGGGGAAUAUUGCACAAUGGGGGAAACCCUGAUGCAGCGACGCCGCGUGAACGAAGAAGGUAUUCGUAUCGUAAAGUUCUGUCCUAUGGGAAGAUAAUGACAGUACCAUAGAAGAAAGCUCCGGCUAAAUACGUG